UACGUAGGGUGCGAGCGUUAAUCGGAAUUACUGGGCGUAAAGUGUGCGCAGGCGGCCGAGCAAGUCGAGUGUGAAAGCCCCGAGCUUAACUUGGGAACUGCGCUCGAAACUACUUGGCUAGAGUGUGGCAGAGGGAGGUGGAAUUCCACGUGUAGCGGUGAAAUGCGUAGAGAUGUGGAGGAACACCGAUGGCGAAGGGCAGCCUCCUGGGCCGAACA
rnacentral:rRNA from 1 species